ACCCGCCAGCCCCGCGCUCUACCAGGCAGAGCGCGUGUGGCCGCCGAGCACAUGGACCCACUGGUCAAGCGGGCUCGGCAAGGCCAGGAUGAAGAGAAGCUACGAACUUAGCAUUCCCAGAGCCCCCCGAGUGGAUAUCCGCGUGGAAAGGAUGUUGGCAGCCCCGGUGACCUCGGAGUCACGGCUGGAUCCACCCUCUUAGAGCCGAGUUCUGUCACCACAGACAUUGGCAGUGGCACUUGCAUGCCCCUGGCAAGCAGUCUAUCCUGAGGUGGAGGAAGUUGCCCUUGAGUUCUGGCUGGUAACCAGCACAGGGGCUGGGACACUGCCUGAUUGAGGUGGCCAUUGAGAAUUCAAGUGUACCUCUUGGUCCCUGAUGCAGAAAUGAAGUCCCCAGCAUGCUCAAGAAGAGCUUCCUUGGAGGAUGAGAGGCAUGGGAAUCUAAGUAUACCCUUUAAGCGUUCCAGAAGGAUUUUGAGAUCCUUUCCUAAAUCAAAGGUGGAAUAUUUGGGGAUUUGGAAAAUUGAGGCUUCAGAGAAAUCAGGAGCGGUGAAUGAUCGAAAUGGACCUUUGAGAUUACAGUGUGGAGCUGACAUUGCCAGUUAAGCCUGGGCAGAUCUGACUUAAUUGAUUUAGUUGUUGGAGCAGAGACAACCCAGAGGCUUGGAUCAGCCUCCCCAUCUGACAGUGUGCUGAUGUGAAGCGUUGACUUAAGAGAUGCCAAGUAACUCAGCAGAUGUCACACAGACGAUAAAUAGCAAAGAUGGAAGUCUUCAUGCCGGAGGCAAUCCUAUAAGACAGCUGAGUUCUGCAGAGCUGGUAGGAGACAGACUUGCUCAGGUGAUAGAUCCAGCCAUGAUACUGACCCUAAGAGAAUGAGACGCUCUGCAGAAGACAGAAGAUUCCUGAAACUGGGAAAGGUGCCUAGAAAUCCUGAUAAGAGUGAAGAAGGAGCUGGCAGAGCAGCCUUCCUCCGCACUAUGAAAGACAUCCAACAGAGAGCAAGUUCCCACCUCACUUCCAGCUUGACUCCUUUUUAUCUCCUAACUGUGGUCUGUGAUGUCUUCAGCAAUGGGUACCUGGAGGCACAGCAGCCAUGUUGAACCUAUGAGGUGAUGAAAAACCAUGCAACUAGAAACCAGAAUGGAAGAAAAGAAGAAGCUGGAUCCUUGACUGAAUUGUCGAUGGGGGAUAGUCCAUCAUCCCAGGGCUAAGACCACCUCCAGAUUUCUUGUUUGGUGAAACAAGUCCUGAUUGUUUACAUUCCCUCGUGUUGAGCUGUCUCUUGCUUGUAGCUGAAAGCAUUUCUAAUAGAUAUUCAGAUUAUCAGCCUUAGCUCCAAGCUAGAAUACUCUAUGGGACCUUAGCUUCUCCAUGAAUUCCUUUGCUCAUCUGUGUAAUGCUCAAUAAAUGUAAAUUGAACCCUGAAUGAGGGACAAUGACACUA
rnacentral:lncRNA from 1 species